rnacentral:rRNA from 1 species
UACGUAGGGUGCAAGCGUUUGUCCGGAAUUAUUGGGCGUAAAGAGCUUGUAGGCGGUUUGUCGCGUCGGCUGUGAAAACCCGGGGCUCAACCCCGGGCCUGCAGUCGAUACGGGCAGGCUAGAGUCCGGUAGGGGAGACUGGAAUUCCUGGUGUAGCGGUGGAAUGCGCAGAUAUCAGGAGGAACACCGAUGGCGAAGGCAGCUCGCUGGGACGGUACUGACGCUGAGGCGCGAAAGCGUGGGGAGCGAACAGG